UACGUAGGUGGCAAGCGUUAUCCGGAAUUACUGGGCGUAAAGCGCCCGCAGGUGGCUCUCUAAGGCUGACGUGAAAGCGCCUGGCUUAACUGGGCGAGGUCGUUGGCGACUGGAGGGCUUGAGGCAAGGAGAGGGGUGCAGAAUUCCCGGUGUAGUGGUGGAAUGCGUAGAGAUUGGGCGGAACACCAGCGGCGAAGGCGGCAUCCUGGCCCUUACCUGACGCUGAGGCGCGAGAGCGUGGGGAGCAAACCGG
rnacentral:rRNA from 1 species